rnacentral:rRNA from 1 species
CCUACGGGAGGCAGCAGUGAGGAAUAUUGGUCAAUGGACGAGAGUCUGAACCAGCCAAGUAGCGUGAAGGAUGACUGCCCUAUGGGUUGUAAACUUCUUUUAUAUGGGAAUAAAAUGUUCCACGUGUGGGAUUUUGUAUGUACCCUAUGAAUAAGGAUCGGCUAACUCCGUGCCAGCAGCCGCGGUAAUACGGAGGAUCCGAGCGUUAUCCGGAUUUAUUGGGUUUAAAGGGUGCGCAGGCGGAAGAUCAAGUCAGCGGUAAAAUUGAGAGGCUCAACCUCUUCGAGCCGUUGAAACUGGUGUUCUUGAGUGAGCGAGAAGUAUGCGGAAUGCGUGGUGUAGCGGUGAAAUGCAUAGAUAUCACGCAGAACUCCGAUUGCGAAGGCAGCAUACCGGCGCUCAACUGACGCUCAUGCACGAAAGUGUGGGUAUCGAACAGGAUUAGAUACCCUUGUAGUC